UGGGCACUUUUGCUAGUGCCACACAAACACCACGCUCUUAGUCGUUACAGGUUCAUUAGGAGCCCCAACACCCAAUAGGGCAAAUCCCCUUCUCUGCUUAAGUUCCCCGGUUUUCUUGGAACUUUGUUCUUAUCACAUGUUCUCAUAAUUUGCUGCAUAACAAACACUCCAAAAAUUAGAAGUUUAAAACAAAAAAACAUUAAUUCUGUUCCUGAAUUUACGAAUUGGUGGCUGGUGAAGUGACAGCUUUUCUCAGCUCAUCAGUGUCACCUGAUGCAGCGUGAAAAGGGAACCUGGAAUCAUCUGGGCUGUUCACUCACGUGUCUUGCAGUUGUGUGUAUCAGCAGGUUGUCGCUUUACUACCGAGCAGCAGUCCCUCGUAUCAAUAUACUGCCAUUUGUUUAUCCAUCCUCCUAUGGGCGGACUGAAACAGACUAGGUCCAAUAAAAAGAGAGAAGCCACGUAGUGAUUGGAACAGAGAAUAUUUAAUAUUAAGAAUUUCUAACUCUUCAUGAUGGAUAUUAACUUACUGUGCUCGUCGUUUCACAACAUAUUGCCUCCCCAGUGCUUUCUACUGGAUGGACUUCAGCGUCAGCUGGAACAAGCAAAAAUAUUUAAAGGGCUCGGAUGUUUUUACACAGAUUAGUCUAAAAGGAUGAAUUUGGAGCCAAGAGGCAAUAAAUAGAUAACCGACAUUUGAAACUUUGGGUAUUUGGGGACAAAGAUGCAAUGAACGUGUCAUAAAGCUGUUUGUGGACGUAUGUUUUCACUUCUCCUGGAUAAAUGCCCAAGAGAAGAAUUGAGGGCCACAGAGUUAGACUUUAAGAGACUAUCAAAAGGGUGUCAACACUCGAGAAUCAGUGGGUCAAUUUCUACAGUUGGAGCCAUUUUCAAGGACUCAGCCUGGAGAGAGCGAUGCAUUGUUGAGACCGUCUACACAGGAUACAUAACUGAACCCAGUUAAGACCACCGUAGAAACUUUUAAGAUUCUUCUGGGCAGGUCUGAGAGGCACUCGUCUUGUGGCUGCUCAAGACAAGCCUGCUGGCUAAAUUCCCUUGCCCCUUAAGCCUGCCACCUACCAGUCUGGAGCAGCUGCCUCUUUCUUUGGUCUCUCCCCGCCCUCCAAGUACAGGGUCUAGUUUCAGAUUUCACCCAGCAAGCCCCUGAGGUUUCACACCAACAGUAUUUCAACUACUAUAUAUAUAUAUGUUUCAUAUCUCAUAUUUCAGUUUUAUUUAUGGUUUCUCCCUCAUAUUUUACACUGGUAAUAUCUUCUGUC
rnacentral:lncRNA from 1 species